AUUGAACGCUGGCGGCAUGCUUUACACAUGCAAGUCGAACGGUAACAGGCCGCAAGGUGCUGACGAGUGGCGAACGGGUGAGUAAUGCAUCGGAACGUGCCCAGUCGUGGGGGAUAACGCAGCGAAAGCUGCGCUAAUACCGCAUACGAUCUAUGGAUGAAAGCGGGGGACCGUAAGGCCUCGCGCGAUUGGAGCGGCCGAUGUCAGAUUAGGUAGUUGGUGGGGUAAAGGCUCACCAAGCCAACGAUCUGUAGCUGGUCUGAGAGGACGACCAGCCACACUGGGACUGAGACACGGCCCAGACUCCUACGGGAGGCAGCAGUGGGGAAUUUUGGACAAUGGGCGCAAGCCUGAUCCAGCAAUGCCGCGUGCAGGAAGAAGGCCUUCGGGUUGUAAACUGCUUUUGUACGGAACGAAACGGUCCUGGUUAAUACCCGGGGCUAAUGACGGUACCGUAAGAAUAAGCACCGUCUAACUACGUGCCAGCAGCCGCCGCCGUAA
rnacentral:rRNA from 1 species